GCCGGGCAUGGUGGCGGGUGCCUGUAAUCCCAGCUACUCGGGAGGCUGAGGCAGGAGAAUCGCCUGAGCCCAGGAGGCAGAGGUUGCAGUGAACUGAGAUUGCACCACUGCACUCCAGCCUGGGCAACAAAACGAGACUCUGUCUCAA
rnacentral:SRP_RNA from 2 species